AAAUUUUGAAAGUACCAAUUUUUUUUUGUUUGAUGCGAAACUUAAUUAUUUACAGGUAUUUUUUUUUAUAGAAUCAAUAAAAAAGCAAAUAGGCAUUACUAUUUAUUUUUUGGCAAAUCAAAAUCUUUAGUGACAGGAAGUUCAUGUCUGCAAAUUCACUAAUUCUAAAAGUUUAUAAAGUAUUUUGGAUGAGUGACAUUUAAGAACCGUUAGCAUCAAAUCCAUGCAAUCAACCACAAAGAUUAACAAGACAAGAUUUCAUACUUUGGCGGCAUAGCCACCCUGGGCCCAAAGUCGAUAUUGACCAGCCUCAUUUUCAAAAUUAUGGGCCACAUUCGUGCGGAGCAGGAGGAAUAGGCUGCAGCAGAAGGU
rnacentral:lncRNA from 1 species